rnacentral:rRNA from 1 species
GAUGAACGCUGGCGGCGUGCCUAAUACAUGCAAGUCGAGCGAACAGACGAGGAGCUUGCUCCUCUGACGUUAGCGGCGGACGGGUGAGUAACACGUGGAUAACCUACCUAUAAGACUGGGAUAACUUCGGGAAACCGGGGCUGAUACCGGAUAAUAUAUUGAACCGCAUGGUUCAAUAGUGAAAGACGGUUUUGCUGUCACUUAUAGAUGGAUCCGCGCCGCAUUAGCUAGUUGGUAAGGUAACGGCUUACCAAGGCAACGAUGCGUAGCCGACCUGAGAGGGUGAUCGGCCACACUGGAACUGAGACACGGUCCAGACUCCUACGGGAGGCAGCAGUAGGGAAUCUUCCGCAAUGGGCGAAAGCCUGACGGAGCAACGCCGCGUGAGUGAUGAAGGUCUUCGGAUCGUAAAACUCUGUUAUUAGGGAAGAACAAAUGUGUAAGUAACUAUGCACGUCUUGACGGUACCUAAUCAGAAAGCCACGGCUAACUACGUG